rnacentral:rRNA from 1 species
AGAGUUUGAUCCUGGCUCAGAACGAACGCUGGCGGCAGGCCUAACACAUGCAAGUCGAGCGAAGCCUUCGGGCUUAGCGGCGGACGGGUGAGUAACGCGUGGGAACGUGCCCUUCACUACGGAAUAGUCCCGGGAAACUGGGUUUAAUACCGUAUACGCCCUUCGGGGGAAAGAAUUUCGGUGAAGGAUCGGCCCGCGUUAGAUUAGGUAGUUGGUGGGGUAAUGGCCUACCAAGCCUACGAUCUAUAGCUGGUUUGAGAGGAUGAUCAGCCACACUGGGACUGAGACACGGCCCAGACUCCUACGGGAGGCAGCAGUGGGGAAUCUUAGACAAUGGGGGCAACCCUGAUCUAGCCAUGCCGCGUGAGUGAUGAAGGCCUUAGGGUCGUAAAGCUCUUUCGCUGGGGAAGAUAAUGACGGUACCCAGUAAAGAAACCCCGGCUAACUCCGUGCCAGCAGCCGCGGUAAUACGGAGGGGGUUAGCGUUGUUCGGAAUUACUGGGCGUAAAGCGCGCGUAGGCGGACUGGAAAGUUGGGGGUGAAAUCCCGGGGCUCAACCUCGGAACUGCCUCCAAAACUAUCAGUCUAGAGUUCGAGAGAGGUGAGUGGAACUCCGAGUGUAGAGGUGAAAUUCGUAGAUAUUCGGAAGAACACCAGUGGCGAAGGCGGCUCACUGGC